AGCGAACGCUGGCGGCAGGCCUAACACAUGCAAGUCGAACGAACUCUUCGGAGUUAGUGGCGGACGGGUGAGUAACACGUGGGAACGUGCCUUUUGGCUCGGAAUAACUCAGGGAAACUUGUGCUAAUACCGGAUGUGCCCUUCGGGGGAAAGAUUUAUCGCCAUUAGAGCGGCCCGCGUCUGAUUAGCUAGUUGGUGAGGUAACGGCUCACCAAGGCGACGAUCAGUAGCUGGUCUGAGAGGAUGACCAGCCACACUGGGACUGAGACACGGCCCAGACUCCUACGGGAGGCAGCAGUGGGGAAUCUUGCGCAAUGGGCGAAAGCCUGACGCAGCCAUGCCGCGUGAAUGAUGAAGGUCUUAGGAUUGUAAAAUUCUUUCACCGGGGACGAUAAUGACGGUACCCGGAGAAGAAGCCCCGGCUAACUUCGUG
rnacentral:rRNA from 1 species